UGGGGUUGAAUGCUCCUUGGUGGAUGUGGGUGAUGCUCGCUUUCAGUUUGUUCUAGUGGUGUCUUCUGGAAAAAAUCCAUCUUCAUUGCCUGAUAUCUUAAAGCUGUUUGGGAAGAAUGCAGUGCCUCAGUACAUCGUUCCUCCCUGAUGGUUUUCACAGACAUUGAGGCUCUAUUUUCAGUCCACCUGGUGCUUCCUGGCCUCUCGCACUCUACAUCUGAAAGAAGUCAGAUGGAAGAAAUUUCUUCUACGGCUAACUUGAAAAACAAUCAGUUCUUUUAAAAUGUCGCUUUCAGUAUUGCUGUGUACUCCUUAUCACAGCUCGCUGUCUUCAGACCCAGUUACCUCCCCCAAAAGCGAGCAACUGAUCCAAGCAGAUGUUUUCUUAUCAAGAAUUCAUACCAGACCUAUUUAUUUUGAAUUAGCAUAUCUCAUUAACUGUCUCAAGGACACUGGCUGAAUUCAUCUUUUAACGAGUAUCUCAAAAAUCUAGCUUUUCAAAAGUGAAAUAUAACUGCAGAGAAUGUACAAUUAACCCCCUCGCUUCCAGUGCCUGGGUAGGAAGAUGCUGGAGGAUGGGGUUUUCUGCCUGGCCUUUGAGUGAAGCCACACAGACCUUUGGUGUUUUGGUGGGCGACAUGCCAGCCUGUCCUGAGGCCUGUGCAGAUGUGGGGUCACUGGAGCAGCCACCAGAGAUGCCGAAGGGCGGGACAGGCCAUGGGCCUGGGGCAGGAGGUGCUGAGGGCUGGCUCCAUCCAACAACCCCAGGCAUUCAUUGUGAAGUACUUCACUGUGAGCACGUCGGAGAGGGCAGGUGCUGCUCCUCGGCACAUCCACCACCAGCAUUUUGGGGUUCUGAGGCAGGGAAUUGAGCACCAAAAAGAGCAGGGGUGCCUCCUUCCCAUCUGCUGCACGGCUUGUAGCAUUGGGUCACUUUGUACUGGAGGUCUGACAGAUGCCGAGUCUGAAUUCAACAGAGAAAACUCAGGAUAAGCUUAUACUGUGCCUAAAGAGUUAAUCUGCAGAGCUCAGAAGUACCCCAUUUCUUUUCUUUACAUCUGACCGGCGAUCGUAAUCGUGGAUCAUGCAACAGAAUGUUGUCUUCCUGGAAUGGCGCACAAUAUGCUACUCUUUCCCUAAGCUUAUGUUAUUUUAUUAUGAGUAAUCAGUAAAAG
rnacentral:lncRNA from 1 species